rnacentral:misc_RNA from 1 species
AACUGAUACUACCUGCGGGAACCUGCGGAGGGAUCAUUACCGAGUUUACAACUCCCAAACCCCUGUGAACAUACCACUUGUUGCCUCGGCGGAUCAGCCCGCUCCCGGUAAAACGGGACGGCCCGCCAGAGGACCCCUAAACUCUGUUUCUAUAUGUAACUUCUGAGUAAAACCAUAAAUAAAUCAAAACUUUCAGCAACGGAUCUCU